rnacentral:rRNA from 1 species
AGUGAACGCUGGCGGUAGGCCUAACACAUGCAAGUCGAACGGCAGCACAGUAAGAGCUUGCUCUUACGGGUGGCGAGUGGCGGACGGGUGAGGAAUACAUCGGAAUCUACUUUUUCGUGGGGGAUAACGUAGGGAAACUUACGCUAAUACCGCAUACGACCUACGGGUGAAAGCAGGGGAUCUUCGGACCUUGCGCGAUUGUAUGAGCCGAUGUCGGAUUAGCUAGAUGGCGGGGUAAAGGCCCACCAAGGCGACGAUCCGUAGCUGGUCUGAGAGGAUGGUCAGCCACACUGGAACUGAGACACGGUCCAGACUCCUACGGGAGGCAGCAGUGGGGAAUAUUGGACAAUGGGCGCAAGCCUGAUCCAGCCAUACCGGGUGGGUGAAGAAGGACUUCGGGUUGUAAAGCCCUUUUGUUGGGAAAGAAAAGCAGCAGGUUAAUACCCCGCUGUUCUGACGGUACCCAAAGAAUAAGCACCGGCUAACUUCGUG